rnacentral:lncRNA from 1 species
AUCGAGGUGGGUGGUUGGACUGGUGCAGCGAUGGGCUAGGCGAUCCAUGAGGGUUGUUGGAUGCCGCCCGAGAUUGUCCCUCCACAGGGAAGAGAUUGCAUAUGUUACACCAGAUGCAUUACCAACAUCUAACUACAAUUUUGAUAAUCACAGGAGUAUGGAACAGAGCAGGGUCAACUGUAGGAAACAAUGGAGGUGGUAGAGCGAAACCCUGUGCGUCGCCAAGGCUCUGUAUGUAUUGGAACAUCUCAGCCAUCCUCGCCUCCAUCUACUGACGUUCCCUCCUCUCUAUUUCUAGCUUGGUCUGUAGUAUUCCAAGCUAAUGUUAUAGUAACUCAAAAAGAAGGUAUAUAACUAAAGGAAUGACGAGUUACAGAAACACUAACCUCGAGUUGCUGUAUGCGAUGAUGUGAGUUGUCCUGCCAAGGUCGUAUGGCUGGACUCGAGUCCGUGCUCCUUGCUCGCACCUGAGACAGAGCGGGAGUGGACGACGAGUCGAUUGCCCCAUCGACAAUCCAGUACCGCCCAUGUCUCUUGCCUCCUCAGACCGUCAUGAGGACAUCGGGGUCGAUCUGCUCGGUCCUCGGAUUGUAUUCUGGGCCAUGGACCUUCUGUGCCAUGGUGGUGUAGUCAUGAAGGCGGUUGUAGAUGGCGAGGUUGUUG